GCUCUUUAGGAUAGAUUAGAUGCUGUUGCUGCAGAUGCUUUUAUUACAGGUAUUAUUUCAGUCUGCCACAGGGAUGCCUCAGUUUUAUUUGAUCCUGGAACCAUAUAUUCUUAUAUAUCUUCUUACUUUUCUCAUCAUUUGGGGACUACCUGAUGGUGUCUUGCGUUACCUAUGCACGUAUCUACCUCGGUGGGUGAUACUGUUAUUGUGGACCACGUGUAUCUGUCAUGUCUUGUUACUAAUGGGGGUCUGGAGACCCUAGUUGUUUUGCUGCUAUUGAGCAUGGUACAUUUUGAUGUUAUUUUGGGCAUGG
rnacentral:lncRNA from 1 species